CAGUCGCCGCGGGAAUACAGAGGGUGCGAGCGUUAAUCGGAUUUACUGGGCGUAACGCGUGCGUAGGCGGCUAAUUGAGUCGGAUGUGAAAUCCCCGAGCUUAACUUGGGAAUUGCAUUCGAUACUGGUUAGCUAGAGUGUGGGAGAGGAUGGUAGAAUUCCAGGUGUAGCGGUAAAAUGCGUAGAGAUCUGGAGGAAUACCGAUGGCGAAGGCAGCCAUCUGGCCUAACACUGACGCUGAGGUACGAAAGCAUGGGGAGCAAACAGGAUUAGAUACCCCAGUAGUCCCUGUCUCUUAUAC
rnacentral:rRNA from 1 species